rnacentral:rRNA from 1 species
GGGCUUGCGUUGUAUUAGCUAGUUGGUGAGGUAAUGGCUUUACCAAGGCAACGAUGCAUAUCCGAGCUGAGAGGCUGAUCGGACACAUUGGAACUGAGACACGGUCCAAACUCCUACGGGAGGCAGCAGUUAGGAAUAUUCGUCAAUGGGGGGCAACCCCUUGAACGAGCAAAUGCCGCGUGAGUGAUGAAGGUCUUAAUGAUUGUAAAACUCUUGUUGUGAAGGAAGAACGGCUAUCAUAGGUAAUGAUGAUAGAGUGACGGUACUUUUACCAGAAAAGCCCCGGCCUAACUACGUUGCC